rnacentral:rRNA from 1 species
UCGAGGAUCUUCGGCAAUGGGCGCAAGCCUGACCGAGCGACGCCGCGUGCGCGAUGAAGGCCUUUGGGUUGUAAAGCGCUGUCGAGGGGGAGGAAAGCCCGCAAGGGCCUGACCUAUCCCUGGAGGAAGCACGGGCUAAGUUCGUGCCAGCAGCCGCGGUAAGACGAACCGUGCGAACGUUGUUCGGAUUCACUGGGCUUAAAGGGCGCGUAGGCGGCGAUUCAAGUCCGGGGUGAAAGCUUUCGGCUCAACCGGAAAAGUGCCUUGGAUACUGGAUCGCUCGAGGGGGGUAGGGGCAGGCGGAACUUCCGGUGGAGCGGUGAAAUGCGUAGAUAUCGGAAGGAACGCCGGUGGCGAAAGCGGCCUGCUGGACCCCCCCUGACGCUGAGGCGCGAAAGCCAGGGGAGCAAACGG